GUUAAUGUUAUUGUCGUUGUUGUUUGAGUGUGCAGAGUUAAUUUCGUAUAGUUCUUUUAAGCUUCUAAAGCAUACAGGUGGUUCAUUUUUGUGAAUUGUAACAUAUACAAGGCCACUGGCGGUAAAAGCAGAGAAUAGAUGGUGUUUUCUUUUCAUUUCAAUUGCAUUGCGAAGAAGUUCUCGAUUUCGGUGGUUAAGCUUUCAUGUAUAUAAAUGUGUCCGCUUGGAAAUUCGAAUCAAUUUCAUGUAAGCUCAGGUUUCGAGAAUUUGACUUACGAUAUUCAGAGAGUGCUUUUAUCGUGUUUAUUUUGUCGUUUGCGCUAAGAAAUUUAAUAAUUAUAAUUGAAUUUGUCUGCGGCUUACAUCGAAAAAUACCGGAGAUUUGAGGUGGUUGGAAAUCUAAGCAGUGACAUAUUAGAUUAAAUAUAUUUUUUAGUUGUUCGUUUGGUGUGUACGGUAUUCCAAUUAGUAUAACAUCUACACUCUACAGCAAGAUUAUUUAUUUCCAUAGUGUGCAAUUUUAAUUUAAAGCUUUCUAAUUCAGUUUUAGUAUCAUCGUCGGAUGCUGAAGCAAGCGCGCAGUGUUCUAUUUUCAUGUUGGUUUUGUUUAUAUUCUCUCGAAUCUUAUCUAUUUCAGUGCAACGUUUCUCUAUUUGUGAUACCUUUUCUUCUAAUUGUGUCAAAUCGCGAGUUAUUCUGUCCAUUUUGUUGGACACACAGUACACAUAAAAAGUUUGAGCAGAGAAAUUGAAAGGAGAUACAUCUACAAGCUUUUUUGACACAUUAUUAAGAGAAUCAUCAGUGGCACCACAAGAAGGAGAAGCAGCAAUAUCGGGAACGCGAGCAACAGGAACAAAAGCGGCAGCAUCAACAACAAGCACAUUUGGAGCGGGAGAAGAGAAAACAGUGGUGACAGCAUCAGUGGUCGACGAAUUUUUGAUGGAUGGAGUUUUUUUGGAAGAAGAAUUCUCAUUUUUUUCUGUUCAUUUUAUUUAAAAGAGAUGAUGUCGACUGUAGUAAUACCCAAGGCUAUGAUACGGGCAUUGGCGGAUCAACAUAUCAACACAUACUUAAAAAUUUAUAAAAAGUGGCAUUUUACUUAAUUUUAAAGAUAGUGAAUUAAUUUUUACCACCAAAUGUGACAGAUCCGCAACAUUUUUUAUGCGGAUAGCAAAUGUAUGGAGCAAGUUCAUUCACGUGAAUAGUGGAAUAACAAACAACAUUACCCAUAUUACCGACGUGAAUUUGGCUUCCCCCCCAUGGAUAGCAGAAUAGGGCUGAUAAUCUCUAUGUAACACACUAUAAAGUGAUCUACACAGAUAAAAACAUGUUAACUACAAUAGGAAGGGCUACUAUACCUCGGACUUUGCUUCCUUAAGUCUAGUAUGCAGCUGAAGCGAAACGAAAAAUUUUGAAGUCUCCAAAGACAACAGCGAAUAUGUUAACAAAAAAAUACCAUCGGGUAUUAUACGAAAGUAAAAAUAAUAAAAAUUCAAAUAAAAAAAGACGAUACCUGCAGAAUGUGUAACGAAGACGAAGAAACAGCAGAACACAUACUGUGUCACUGUAAUUGCUUAAUCAAUACACGUCGACGUCACCUCGGAGGGUAUUAUCUCGAAGCGGAAAACAUCGCCGCUACCCAACUAGCACAACAGCUUCUAUAAAUUGAAAUCUCGCAGGUUCUACUUUGUAUACAGCUUAUAUUAAGCUUGCUUCAGAAUUUAACUGCUUAUAUAAGUUCAGACUUGUAUAACAACUUCUAAUAAGUUGUUUAAAUACUAUUAAAGAAACUUAAACGAAGAAAGCUUGUUUUUCUUAUUAGCCUGUUUAAUGAAUUUAUAGAAGCUUUACAGAAAUUACCAAGGUUUGUAUUUGAUUUUUGGUUUUGAUAUUAAAUAAUCUAGCUCGGUUAGCUUGGUUUUGACAUUGAAUAAUUUAGCUCGGACAUUUUUUUGCUAUUUGAACUAAUUGAGUUUUUGAUUUCAUUAAUGAAUAUACUAGGAUGGCCGAGUGGGUAGAGUGGUGGACUACCACCAAGCAGAUACGAAGUUCGAUUCCUGGGUGUGGUAAAAAAUUAUAUACUUUGUGCCCUCUUAUAGGCAGAAUACUUUUAUU